rnacentral:rRNA from 1 species
GACGAACGCUGGCGGCGUGCCUAAUACAUGCAGGUAGAACGCUGAAGGAGGAGCUUGCUUCUCUGGAUGAGUUGCGAACGGGUGAGUAACGCGUAGGUAACCUGCCUGGUAGCGGGGGAUAACUAUUGGAAACGAUAGCUAAUACCGCAUAAUAUUGACUAUUGCAUGAUAGUCAGUUGAAAGGUGCAACUGCACCACUACCAGAUGGACCUGCGUUGUAUUAGCUAGUUGGUGGGGUAACGGCUCACCAAGGCGACGAUACAUAGCCGACCUGAGAGGGUGAUCGGCCACACUGGGACUGAGACACGGCCCAGACUCCUACGGGAGGCAGCAGUAGGGGAUCUUCGGCAAUGGACGGAAGUCUGACCGAGCAACGCCGCGUGAGUGAAGAAGGUUUUCGGAUCGUAAAGCUCUGUUGUAAGAGAAGAACGAGUGUGAGAGUGGAAAGCUCACACUGUGACGGUAUCUUACCAGAAAGGGACGGCUAACUACGUG